CGCAGCCGCGGUAAUUCCAGCUCCAAUAGCGUAUAUUAAAGUUGCUGCAGUUAAAAAGCUCGUAGUUGAAUUUCGGGACUAAUAUGUCGGUCGUGCCUCGGUACGUACUGGUUUAUUGGUUUCUCCUUUCUGAAGAACCAUGAUGUCAUUUAUUUGGUGUCGUGGGGAAUCAGGACUGUUACUUUGAAAAAAUUAGAGUGUUUAAAGCAGGCUCACGCUUGAAUACAUUAGCAUGGAAUAAUGAAAUAGGACGUUUGAUUCUAUUUUGUUGGUUUCUAGGAUCGACGUAAUGAUUAAUAGGGAUAGUUGGGGGCAUUAGUAUUCAAUUGUCAGAGGUGAAAUUCUUGGAUUUAUUGAAGACUAACUACUGCGAAAGCAUUUGCCAAGGAUGUUUUCAUUAAUCAAGAACGAAAGUUAGGGGAUCGAAGACGAUCAGAUACCGUCGUAGUCUUAACCAUAAACUAUGCCGACUAGGGAUCGGAUGAUGUUAAUUUUUUAAUGACUCAUUCGGCGCCUUACG
rnacentral:misc_RNA from 1 species